rnacentral:rRNA from 1 species
UUCCCGGGUCUUGUACACACCGCCCGUCAAGCCAUGAAAGUCGCCAAUACCUGACGUGUUGCCUCGCGCAGCCCUAAGGUAGGGGAGAUGAUUGGGGUU